rnacentral:tRNA from 1 species
AAGUUUAGGUUAACCAAACCAAGGGCCUUCAAAGCCCUAAAUAGGGCAGGGGCCCUAACUUCUG